CCUACGGGAGGCAGCAGUCGAGAAUCAUUCACAAUGGGGGAAACCCUGAUGGUGCGACGCCGCGUGGGGGAAUGAAGGUCUUCGGAUUGUAAACCCCUGUCAUGUGGGAGCAAAUUAAAAAGAUAGUACCACAAGAGGAAGAGACGGCUAACUCUGUGCCAGCAGCCGCGGUAAUACAGAGGUCUCAAGCGUUGUUCGGAAUCACUGGGCGUAAGGCGUGCGUAGGCUGUUUCGUAAGUCGUGUGUGAAAGGCGCGGGCUCAACCCGCGGACGGCACAUGAUACUGCGAGACUAGAGUAAUGGAGGGGGAACCGGAAUUCUCGGUGUAGCAGUGAAAUGCGUAGAUAUCGAGAGGAACACUCGUGGCGAAGGCGGGUUCCUGGACAUUAACGGACGCUGAGGCACGAAGGCCAGGGGAGCGAAAGGGAUUAGAUACCCGAGUAGUC
rnacentral:rRNA from 1 species